rnacentral:rRNA from 1 species
CAGUCGCCACGGUAAUACGAGGGGGGCAAGCGUUGUUCGGAAUUAUUGGGCGUAAAGGGCGCGUAGGCGGUUUGACAAGUCUUGUGUGAAAUCUCUGGGCUCAACCCAGAGUCUGCACGGGGAACUGUCGGGCUAGAGGAUGGGAGAGGUGAGUGGAAUUUCCGGUGUAGCGGUGAAAUGCGUAGAUAUCGGAAGGAACACCUGUGGCGAAAGCGGCUCACUGGACCAUUACUGACGCUGAGGCGUGAAAGCUAGGGGAGCAAACAGGAUUAGAUACCCCUGUAGUCCCUGUCUCUUAUAC